GACGAACGCUGGCGGCGUGCCUAAUACAUGCAAGUCGAACGCUGAAGGAGGAGCUUGCUUCUCUGGAUGAGUUGCGAACGGGUGAGUAACGCGUAGGUAACCUGCCUGGUAGCGGGGGAUAACUAUUGGAAACGAUAGCUAAUACCGCAUAAUAGUAGAUGUUGCAUGACAUUUGCUUAAAAGGUGCAAUUGAAUCACUACCAGAUGGGCCUGCGUUGUAUUAGCUAGUUGGUGAGGUAACGGCUCACCAAGGCAACGAUAGAUAGCCGACCAGAGAGGGGGAUCGGCGACACUGGGACUGGGACACGGACCAGCACACUACGGGAGGCAGCAGGAGGGAAUCUUCGGCAAUGGCAGGAAGGCUGACCGAGCAACGCCGCGGGAGUGAAGAAGGCUUUCGGAUCGUAAAGCUCUGUUGUAAGAGAAGAACGAGUGUGAGAGUGGAAAGUUCACAAUGUGACGGUAUCUUACCAGAAAGGGACGGCUAACUACGUG
rnacentral:rRNA from 1 species